rnacentral:pre_miRNA from 1 species
ACAGUACUCCCUCCGUCCGAAAAUACUUGUCAUCAAAAUGGAUAAAAAGAGAUGUAUCUAGAACUAAAAUACAUCUAGAUACAUCCCCUUUUAUCCAUUUUGAUGACAAGUAUUUCCGGACGGAGGGAGUAUUAC